rnacentral:lncRNA from 1 species
UUAUCAUCUCACCUAAUAAAAUAGAAUUCAUUUCAAACACUAAAUUGUCUAAUAAUAUUUAAUACAUCAUUUAUACAUGAAACUAUAUAUUAAAUCUAAAUAUUACAUUAAUGUACAUACACUUUUGAAUUGUAGUCAAGUUUCUACUAACACUUAAACUAAAAGAAGUCCAGUUCCUUCUAAUGUCUUUAAUGUCGGCAACUUCCAUUGGAAAUGAAUCAUUAAAGAUCUACAAAUAAAAUAUAGAGUUAAAACAAUAUUGUAAUGAAUAGUUGAAUAAGUAUUUAGUUAGUUUUUUAACACAUUACUCCAUGACUCAAUAAUGUUGGUACAAAUAAUGGUAUGCAUGUGUUUCAUUACAUAAUACUUACACUCAUAGUUGCCCAAUUGACGUCGACACUGCAAAUUAAAUACAGAUAAUCAAGACUCAUUCAAACCCCAACACAAAAUAUCAUAUUACACUUUAGCUAGCCUUUGCACCAUGUAGCUUUGAUCAAUUUUGCUAAACCAAAUUUUAUAAAACCAACAACACAACCAAUUCCUCAUAAAAAUAGCAAUCACAAAACACAAAAACAAAGGUCAACUUCUCUUACAUUAGGUGUGAUGAAUCUUCUUCCUAGAGACAGAUGGAACACCCGGUGUGACGCCCCGGCAACUUACAGGGACUGUUGACUGUCCCCACACAUCACCACGAGGCUUUCCAGUGUGCUUUGUCCUCACUCACACACUUUCCAGGAAGACUUCCUGGAAGGUCACCCAUCCCAAAAUUACUCCAGGCUAAGCACGCUUAACCAUGGAGUUCUUAUGGGUUAGGCUACAGAAAAGCAAAUGCAUUUUGGUGAUGUGUGGGGGCAGUCAACAGUCCCUGUAAGUUGUCGGGGCGUUACAAAUGGUAUCAGAGCCUAGCCUCUCCCAGUACGGUGUGGUUCGAGGACGAACCAGACGGAAGUUGGUGGGCAUGUGACACCCGGGCACUGACAAGGGCGGGGAGUGAUCGUCGGUGCAAGAGGCAUGGUGCAGGGGGCACAAACAAGGAGCGGCUCCUGGCAGCCUUCUAGUGGAAGGGGUACAUGGAUGAAUCGAACAUACAUCGGAAUGAGAGGGAUCUAGAGACUGUAUAGGUAUGGGACUAUACAGUUGAAGGAUAGCUUAAAGGAAUUGAUUUGGCUACUCAUAUCACCAAAAUGCAUUUGCUUUUCUGUAAUCACAACAGCAGCAAGAUAUCCCCUCUCAUGGAGUCUUUGUCAACUUUGAACAAUCCUCAAAGUUCCCAGAACGUAGUCGACUAUGUCACUUCAAUGUAGUCGACUAUGUCACUUCAAUGCAGUUUUGAAAAUAUUUCUUUGCAAAAAUACACACAACACUGUUUUUGAAGAUUUGUGCAAAGUCAUGAGUUUUAGUCGACUUGCUUCAUAAUGAAGUCAACUUAAAACUUGUAGUUUUGCCACACAAUAUAAGUUCAAUCAAAGUGCAUGUGGUUUUCUUUUCUAAAACGUAUGUUAUGCAAUAACAGAUGAUAUCUCAUGUAGAAAGCAGUCAAUAUGCACACAUAGACAGAAUCAACACAAACAUGUUCUUCAAGAAUUCAUACAUAUGAAAGUAAUGAACAUGUAACACAUAUCAGUACAUGUGUUAUUAAUAAUGUGUUGUCAUCAUCAAAAACCAGAAGCACUGUGAGAUUGUAAGGUUUAGCUAAACUAGUGCUCUCCUUAUCAACAAUCUCAACAAAAGAAAUUUUUAAACUAGUCAUGAAGAAUUCAAAAAUCGUGUACUUACUGAUGCAAGUAAGGUGUUAAAUAAACCUCUUUACCAGCUUUUUCGAACAUCUUUACCAACUAAAUAAAAAGAAUAAUUUCAUUCUAAUAACCAUAUUUGAAAGAAAAAACAUGAACAAUUACAAAAUAAUACAACUAAAAGACAAUAAAUUACAAAGACAUGAAGGAUAAAAAUUAAUACCUUAGAGAUGGAAUCUUCAAAUUGAUAACUUGUAGGAGGAACCCUAAUCAAUACUUGGUUGUAAUUGUAAUCAAUGACUGAGCAAUAGAACACAUUAAUAUAAAGUCAGCUUAUUGGAAAUUACAAAAACAACCUCAAAGUCUAUUAUGCAGCAAUUAUAAAUAUCCUGUGUUCCAAAAUUGGGGCCAGUACUCUUUUCUGGAUUUGUGAUAUUAACAAUAAUAGAAAUUAAACAAUCACAGUCAAUUAUACUAUGUAUUCAAGUUGAAGAACAGGGUUAUCUGUCAAUCUCUGUUUCGUGUAAGCACUUUCUAAGUAUUUGUAGAUAUUGAACUUGGUCAUUUUAGCCUAUAAAAUUUAUCUUUUGACAUAUCUGCCAAAACAAGUUGUUCGGAAUUUCAGAACUUAUAGUAAUAACUGAUGACAGUAAUUGAAAAGCGAAUGCUCACUUGUAGAAUGAAGAAUGUCAAUAGUUAAAUAGCGAAACCCGCUAGCUAAGAUAAGAGGUUGAAAAUAUUGUCUUCCCAAACACAUGUUCCAGUCUCUCAAAGAAUGGUGGAACCUAGCGGAGACUAAAAUAAUGUUCUCAACUGGGAAAGGUACAGAGUUUUAUAGUUCCCAGAAUGAUUUAAAUCAAAGCUUGAACAACACAAGACCUUCAAAUAUUCAGACACAUAAUGUGAACAUAGAUUGGCAAGUGAAAAACCUAACAUUAUUGUUAAAAUUCAAGCAUAAAGUCAAUCGGUCAGAAAAUUGUCAAAGGAUAUCCGCACAAAACCUAAAUUAAUUGCCCACACAAUUUUGAGUUAACUGAAUAAACCCCAGAAACAUAAAUAAAGGACAAUGGCAGAUAGAAGAAAGCAAGCAUGGUCAAGAGCAAGGGGGCUAGUAUUCUAGGAGACAGCACAAGCAUGAUAUGGUUCAGACAUUGUAACAAACAUGUUAUGAGCAUUGCUUUUGAAAGUAGAAUUACACAACAGUAGAAACCAACAAUGAAUUUGAUGAAGCAGAUGAUGCACCACGCAAUAAUCUAUUAUGGAAGUAAAAAUGUUUGAUACCAAAAUAAGAGCAAAUUUGACAAAGACUGUUUGUACUUGGCGUUUCCUGCAAGAUGCGGAGAAGAUUUGACAAAAUAAGAGCAAAAUCUUUAAAUAAUUUUAUUUCUGUUAUCUACAUGGAAAUUUAUAUCAUUAGCAUUUUUAAUGAAAUUCUCUAUUUCUAUUUCUUAAAUAUCUUGUUUAAGAAAAUAAGGAACAAUACUAUUUUUUAGAUUUUAUUGUUUUCUUAUUAUACUUUUAAUUUAUUAAAGUUAUCGAACUAGAGAAUAGUAACUUGGUUAUAGAACUCUAUGAAAGACUAAGUUAAGAAUUCGAAAUUGAAUUUUCAACAGAAAAGCAAUGUUCCUUCUCAGUUUCAAAAGUUGCAUACACAUUCGUCACGCAAGCAAAACACACAAAACCAUAAACUAACGUAUGUCGUGUUUCUAUAAAUUUCUCAAUAAGUGCGUGUAAGAGAAGAAAAUGCAAAACUAAAGCGAAUUGAGAUACUUGCAUAAACUAAAAUUAACCUUUCAAAGAACCUAGGUUAACUUCUACCUCCACUCCUAUGAAGCUUUCUUUAAAGCGGGUCGAAACACUGCUUGACCAGAACAAACAAUGAGGGAACCAAUUUCAAUCGAUGAAAAAUGAAGGAAAAGGCAAAACAGUCGGUCAAAAGGUGAGAAGAUGAAGAUACGAAAAAACCCUAACAAUAAAGGGUGAAAGAUGGAAGUGAGAGGCUGAGAGAUAAAGGAAAGUGCUUACCGCUUGAAUUGUGGUUCAACGAGAUGAUGGAGAGGCAGCGAGAGCCUUUGAUGAUGGAGACGAGAGAAACGCUCUUGUGAGCCUACAUGAAUGAGAAAUGUAUCACAACGAAGGAGAGUGAGGAAGAGAGAGAGAAGAGAAAUUAGGGGCGAACGUGAGAUAGCGAGACUGAA